UACGGAGGGUGCGAGCGUUGUCCGGAAUUACUGGGCGUAAAGCGCGUGUAGGCGGCCAUGCAAGUCGGAUGUGAAAGCCCUCGGCUCAACCGGGGAAGUGCACUCGAAACUGCAAGGCUAGAGUCUCGGAGAGGAUCGUGGAAUUCUCGGUGUAGAGGUGAAAUUCGUAGAUAUCGAGAGGAACACCGGUGGCGAAGGCGGCAUCCUGGACCAACACUGACACUGAGGAGCGAAAGCCAGGGGAGCAAACGGG
rnacentral:rRNA from 1 species